AAUGAACGUUGGCGGCGUGGAUUAGGCAUGCAAGUCGAGCGGGUGCAGCAAUGCACCAGCGGCGGAAGGGUGAGUAAGGCGACGGCAACCAACCCCGAGGAUGGGUAUAGCCGCGGGAAACUGCGGGUAAUCCCCAGCGAUGCGAGGGCGUCGGCAUCGACGCUUCGCCAAAUGGAUCCGUCCGCCUCGGGACGGGCCGUCGUGGUAUUAGGUCGUCGGCGGGGUAGCGGCCCACCAAGCCUUCGAUGCCUACCGGGCGUGCGAGCGCGGCCCGGCACACUGGGACUGAGACACUGCCCAGACUCCUACGGGAGGCUGCAGUCGAGAAUCUUCGGCAAUGGGCGCAAGCCUGACCGAGCGACGCCGCGUGGAGGACGAAGGCCUUCGGGUUGUAAACUCCUGUCGAGGGGGAGAAAGGCUCCGCGAGGGGCUUGAUCGAUCCCUGGAGGAAGCACGGGCUAAGUUCGUGCCAGCCGCCGCGGUAA
rnacentral:rRNA from 1 species